rnacentral:rRNA from 1 species
GACGAACGCUGGCGGCGUGCCUAAUACAUGCAAGUCGAACGAGAGCGACCGGUGCUUGCACUGGUCAAUCUAGUGGCGAACGGGUGAGUAACACGUGGGUAACCUGCCCAUCAGAGGGGGAUAACUUUCGGAAACGGAUGCUAAAACCGCAUAGGUCUUCGAACCGCAUGGUUUUGAAGAGGAAAAGAGGCGCAAGCUUCUGCUGAUGGAUGGACCCGCGGUGCAUUAGCUAGUUGGUGAGGUAACGGCUCACCAAGGCCGUGAUGCAUAGCCGACCUGAGAGGGUGAUCGGCCACAUUGGGACUGAGACACGGCCCAAACUCCUACGGGAGGCAGCAGUAGGGAAUCUUCCGCAAUGGACGCAAGUCUGACGGAGCAACGCCGCGUGAGUGAAGAAGGUUUUCGGAUCGUAAAACUCUGUUGUUAGAGAAGAACAAGUGCUAGAGUAACUGUUAGCGCCUUGACGGUAUCUAACCAGAAAGCCACGGC